ensembl:snRNA U6 U6 spliceosomal RNA
GUUCUUGCUUAGUAGCACCUACACUAAAAUAGUAACAAUACAGAGAUUAGUAGGGCCCAUAAGUAAGGAUAAUACAAGCUCAUGAUGCUAUCUGUAUUUUU